rnacentral:rRNA from 1 species
UACGAAGGGGGCUAGCGUUGCUCGGAAUCACUGGGCGUAAAGGGUGCGUAGGCGGGUCUUUAAGUCAGGGGUGAAAUCCUGGAGCUCAACUCCAGAACUGCCUUUGAUACUGAGGAUCUUGAGUUCGGGAGAGGUGAGUGGAACUGCGAGUGUAGAGGUGAAAUUCGUAGAUAUUCGGAAGAACACCAGUGGCGAAGGCGACUCGCUGGACAGACAUUGACGCUGAGGUGCAAAAGCGUGGGGAGCAAACAGG